AAACGGGUGGUAAUGCCGGAUGCUCCAGUUGACCGCAUGGUCCUCUGGGAAAGCUUUUGCGGUAUGGGAUGGGGUCGCGUCCUAUCAGCUUGAUGGCGGGGUAACGGCCCACCAUGGCUUCGACGGGUAGCCGGCCUGAGAGGGCGACCGGCCACAUUGGGACUGAGAUACGGCCCAGACUCCUACGGGAGGCAGCAGUGGGGAAUAUUGCACAAUGGGCGCAAGCCUGAUGCAGCGACGCCGCGUGCGGGAUGACGGCCUUCGGGUUGUAAACCGCUUUUGACUGGGAGCAAGCCCUUCGGGGUGAGUGUACCUUUCGAAUAAGCACCGGCUAACUACGUGCCAGCAGCCGCGGUAAUACGUAGGGUGCAAGCGUUAUCCGGAAUUAUUGGGCGUAAAGGGCUCGUAGGCGGUUCGUCGCGUCCGGUGUGAAAGUCCAUCGCUUAACGGUGGAUCCGCGCCGGGUACGGGCGGGCUUGAGUGCGGUAGGGGAGACUGGAAUUCCCGGUGUAACGGUGGAAUGUGUAGAUAUCGGGAA
rnacentral:rRNA from 1 species